ACCUAGCUGACGAAUCCCAAAUAGGAUUAAACGCUCAUCCUGGGU
rnacentral:hammerhead_ribozyme from 1 species